AAUGAACGCUGGCGGCAUGCCUAACACAUGCAAGUCGAACGAGAUCUUCGGGUCUAGUGGCGCACGGGUGCGUAACGCGUGGGAAUCUGCCCUUUGGUUCGGAAUAACAGUUGGAAACGACUGCUAAUACCGGAUGACGACGAAAGUCCAAAGAUUUAUCGCCAGAGGAUGAGCCCGCGUAGGAUUAGCUAGUUGGUGUGGUAAAGGCGCACCAAGGCGACGAUCCUUAGCUGGUCUGAGAGGAUGAUCAGCCACACUGGGACUGAGACACGGCCCAGACUCCUACGGGAGGCAGCAGUGGGGAAUAUUGGACAAUGGGCGAAAGCCUGAUCCAGCAAUGCCGCGUGAGUGAUGAAGGCCUUAGGGUUGUAAAGCUCUUUUACCCGGGAUGAUAAUGACAGUACCGGGAGAAUAAGCUCCGGCUAACUCCGUGCCAGCCGCCGCAGUAA
rnacentral:rRNA from 1 species